GGGAGAUGAGGUUGGAGAGGGAAAGGUCCCAGGAAUGACCUUGGCUUUCAGUUGCUUCACUGGGCAGCUCAGCCUGGGGAGGACCCGGGAACUGGGCUACCUCUGUAGAAAGGCUGGGCAGGCUGCCCUCAAGCCUUAAGGGAGUGGCUGCUGAGGUGAUGUUUAAAUUCAACAAGGCCUCCUAGAAGUGAAGAAAGGACCAGAUCCCUCCCAUGUUUGAGACUCCUGGUAUAUUUCUUUUUAUUUUUUAUUUUCGAGAUGGAGUCUGGCUCUGUCGCCCAGGCUGGAGUGCAGUGGCGCGAUCUCAGCUCACUGCAAGCUCCGCCUCCCAGGUUCAUGCCAUUCUCCUGCCUCAGCCUCCCGAGUAGCUGGGACUACCAGUAGCUGGGACUACAGGUGCCUGCCAACACACCUGGAUAAUUUUUUUGUGUUUUUAGUAGAAACGGGGUUUCACCGUGUUAGCCAGGAUGGUCUCGAUCUCUUGACCUCGUGAUCCGCCCGCCUUGGCCUCCCAAAGUGCUGGGAUUACAGGCAUGAGCCACUGCUCCCGGCCAGACUCCUGGUAUAUUUCAAAAAGACAUGUCACAGCAGGGCUACAAAAAUCAAUGUAUGUUUUAAACGGUAACUGAACAAAUUAACUCUUUUUUUUUUAAAUCAUGCAUUCAAAUGCGGUGCAAUAUAUUUGGACUAUUGACAAGAUAAUUGGAGAACUUGUAUUAAAAAUACAUUAUUUCCUUGGAGAGAUGGCUGAUUUUAGGGCUGGGACAGGGAAAGGAUGAGCCGGCAGUGUGCUGUGGUGCCAGGGAUUUAGGAAGCGCUCAAAACACAAAAGGAUGGGAGUGCGUCAAAGGGAUCCAGGAGCCAGAAGAGCUCCCUAUGGCCAAAGCUGGAGCAACUGAGCAAGGGAAUAAAUAAUAGGAUAAUAUUGAAUUAUAACCUAAAGUAUAAAAUAAAUAUUUAUACUGAUAUAAAUAAUUUUUUUGUUUUCAGAGCCAGGGUCUUGCUCUGUCGCCCAGGCUUGAGUGCAGUGCCGUGAUCAUAGCUCACUGUAACCUUGAACUCCUGGGCUUAAACGAUCCUCCUGCUUCAGCCUCCUGAGUAGCUAGGACUACAGUUGUGCACCACCACGCCUGGCAAAUUAAAAAAAUUUUUUUUGUAGAGAUGGGGAUCUCGCUAUGUUGCCCAAGCUGGUCUUGAACUCCUGGCCGGAAAUAGUCCUCCACCUUGGUCCCCCAAAGUGCUGGGAUUAAAGGCAUGAGCCACCAUACCCAGCCCUGAUAUAAAUAAAUUGUUGAAUCAAUAACCUACUGGGGGAGAAGAGGCAAGUCUUCCUUACAGAAGAAUUUCCAAUAAUGAAUGCAGAUUGUUUCUCCUCUAGGAGGUGGAGCUUAAUUAUUCCUUUCCCUUCCCUUUCCUGUACACUGGACUCAGGACUUGCUUCUAAAUAAUAGAGUAGGGAAAGAGAAGAAUAGUAACUAUACAAUGGAGAAACCUGCAGACACCACUUUAACCAAGGGCUCAAGGUUAACAUCACCAGUGAUAAGUCUAGUGGCUAUCAUGUAGCUAACCCUGCCCCCUCCACACCAUGCUAUAUGACCAGAAGGAUACUUCACCUCUGUCAUAUUCUUUCUAAAACUCCAUAACCCUGGAGAAAAAGGUCAGACAAACCCAAAUUAAAGGUCAUUCUGCAAAAUACCUGACUAGGACUCCUCAAAACUGUCAAGGUUGUAAGAAGCACAGAAAUAAUUAAAGCAUUGUGAAAAAGAAAAAAUCAAAAGCAUAGAAAGACAGCAACAGCCACGGACCAGAGGACACCGGACAUGCUGCCUAGAUGCAGGAUGCCACUCUAGGUCAUGUCGUGGAGCAGAGAGAGCAGGAACAGAGAGGCUGGUGAAAUCCAAAUAAGGUCUGCAGUUAUGUUACUAAUGAUGGACCAAUGUGGGAUUUUUGAGUUUUGAGAAAUGUACCAGGGUGGUGUAAGAUAACAUUAGGGGAAACUGAAACUGGAGGUUGGGUAUUCUGGAACUGUCUGUACUAUCUUUGCAACUCUUCUGUAAACCUAAAGUUAAUUCCAAAAUUCAGAAGUUA
rnacentral:lncRNA from 10 species